rnacentral:rRNA from 1 species
ACUGCUCAGUAACACGUAGCUAACCUACCCUUAGGACGUCGAUAACCCCGAGAAAUUGGGGCUAAUAAGCGAUAGAUGUGAUGUCCUGGAAUGGUAUCACGCCCAAAGGUGUUCGCACGCCUAAGGAUGGGGCUGCGGCCGAUCAGGCAGUUGGUGAGGUAACGGCUCACCAAACCUUUGACCGGUACGGGCCAUGAGAGUGGUAGCCCGGAGAUGGACACUGAGACAAGGGUCCAGGCCCUACGGGGCGCAGCAGGCGCGAAACCUCCUCAAUGCACUCACGUGCGAAGGGGUUACCUCGAGUGCCGCCUGAAGAAGGCGGCUUUUCCGUGGUCUAAAAAGCCUAGGGAAUAAGAGGGGGGCAAGACUGGUGUCAGCCGCCGCGGUAACACCAGCCCCUCGAGUGGUGGGGAUGAUUAUUUGGCCUAAAGCGUCCGUAGCCGGCCGGGUAAGUCUCCCGUUAAAUCCAGCGUCUCAAGCGUUGGACUGCGGGAGAUACUGUCUGGCUAGAGAGUGGGAGAGGUCUGCGGUAUUCUGGGGGUAGGGGCGAAAUCCUUUGAUCCCCGGAGGACCACCAGUGGCGAAGGCUGCAGACUAGAACACGUCUGACGGUCAGGGGCGAAAGCUGGGGUAGCGAACCGGAUUAGAUACCCGGGUAGUCCCAGCCGUAAACGAUGCACGCUAGGUGUUGGGUCGGCCACGAGCCGCCCCAGUGCCACAGGGAAGCCGUUAGCGUGCCGCCUGGGGAGUACGACGCAAGGCUGAACUUAAAGAAUUGGCGGGGGAGCACACAGGCGUGAAGCUGCGGUUUAAUUGGAUUCACGCCGGA